rnacentral:rRNA from 1 species
UGGGGAAUAUUGCGCAAUGGGGGGAACCCUGACGCAGCCAUGCCGCGUGAAUGAAGAAGGCCUUCGGGUUGUAAAGUUCUUUCGGUAUUGAGGAAGGUUGAUGUGUUAAUAGCACAUCAAAUUGACGUUAAAUACAGAAGAAGCACCGGCUAACUCCGUGCCAGCAGCCGCGGUAAUACGGAGGGUGCGAGCGUUAAUCGGAAUAACUGGGCGUAAAGGGCACGCAGGCGGUUAUUUAAGUGAGGUGUGAAAGCCCCGGGCUUAACCUGGGAAUUGCAUUUCAGACUGGGUAACUAGAGUACUUUAGGGAGGGGUAGAAUUCCACGUGUAGCGGUGAAAUGCGUAGAGAUGUGGAGGAAUACCGAAGGCGAAGGCAGCCCCUUGGGAAUGUACUGACGCUCAUGUGCGAAAGCGUGGGGGAGCAAACAGGAUUAGAUACCCUGGUAGUCCACGCUGUAAACGCUGUCGAUUUGGGGGGUUGGGGUUUAACUCUGGCGCCCGUAGCUAACGUGAUAAAUCGACCGCCUGGGGAGUACGGCCGCAAGGUUA